UUGGUACUCCCUCUGUUCGGAAUUACUUGUCUCGGAAAUGGAUAUAUCUAGAACUAAAUUACAUCUAGAUACAUCCAUUUUCACGACAAGUAAUUCCGAACGGAGGGAGUAGUAA
rnacentral:pre_miRNA from 1 species